UACGGAGGAUGCGAGCGUUAUCCGGAUUUAUUGGGUUUAAAGGGUGCGUAGGCGGAUCGUUAAGUCAGUGGUCAAAUUGAGGGGCUCAACCCCUUCCCGCCAUUGAAACUGGCGAUCUUGAGUGGAAGAGAAGUAUGCGGAACGCGUGGUGUAGCGGUGAAAUGCAUAGAUAUCACGCAGAACCCCGAUUGCGAAGGCAGCAUGCCGGCUUCCGACUGACGCUGAAGCACGAAAGCGUGGGGAUCGAACAGG
rnacentral:rRNA from 1 species